AGAAAUAGAAAACAAGAGAAAGAACCAAACUCUUUUGGAUUUGGUGUCUGGUGGUUCCUGGCAAUCCUUGGCAAUCUGAGACGUCCCUUACUGGAAGACACAUCACCCCAGUCUCUUUACCAUCACAAGACAUUCUGUGUAUCCCUUCUCGAUGUCUUCCUCCUCAUCUUAUAAGGACACCAGUCAGAUGGAAAAACAACCACUGGAGUGGGGGAGUGUGAUGCGCUGAUGGCA